rnacentral:rRNA from 1 species
UACGAAGGGGGCUAGCGUUGCUCGGAAUCACUGGGCGUAAAGCGCACGUAGGCGGAUCUUUAAGUCAGGGGUGAAAUCCUGGAGCUCAACUCCAGAACUGCCUUUGAUACUGGGGAUCUCGAGUCCGGAAGAGGUGAGUGGAACUCCGAGUGUAGAGGUGAAAUUCGUAGAUAUUCGCAAGAACACCAGUGGCGAAGGCGGCUCACUGGCCCGAUACUGACGCUGAUGUGCGAAAGCGUGGGGAGCAAACAGGG